rnacentral:rRNA from 1 species
UNGGAGAGGAAAGUGGAAUUCNUAGUGUAGCGGUGAAAUGCGUAGAUAUUAGGAAGAACACCAGUGGCGAAGGCGACUUUCUGGACGAAAACUGACGCUGAGGCGCGAAANCCAGGGGAGCGAACGGGAUUAGAUACCCCGGUAGUCCUGNCCGUAAACGAUGGGUACUAGGUGUAGGAGGUAUCGACCCCUUCUGUGCCGGAGUUAACGCAAUAAGUACCCCGCCUGGNGAGUACGACCGCAAGGUUGAAACUCAAAGGAAUUGACGGGGGCCCGCACAAGCGGUGGAGUAUGUGGUUUAAUUCGACGCAACGCGAAGAACCUUACCAGGUCUUGACAUUGAUGGACAGAACUAGAGAUAGUUCNUCUUCUUCGGAAGCCAGAAAACAGGUGGUGCACGGUUGUCGUCAGCUCGUGUCGUGAGAUGUUGGGUUAAGUCCCGCAACGAGCGCUACCCCUAUCUUAUGUUGCCAGCACUUUGGGUGGGGACUCAUGAGAGACUGCCGCAGACAAUGCGGAGGAAGGCGGGGAUGACGUCAAAUCAUCAUGCCCCUUAUGACCUGGGCUACACACGUACUACAAUGGGAGUUAAUAGACGGAAGCGAGAUCGCGAGAUGGAGCAAACCCGAGAAACACUCUCUCAGUUCGGAUCGUAGGCUGCAACUCG